rnacentral:rRNA from 1 species
AGGGUUUGAUCAUGGCUCAGGAUGAACGCUAGCGGCAGGCUUAACACAUGCAAGUCGAGGGGUAACAGAGGAGCUUGCUUCUGCUGACGACCGGCGCACGGGUGCGUAACGCGUAUACAAUCUGCCUUGCACUAAGGGAUAGCCCAGAGAAAUUUGGAUUAAUACCUUAUGGUUUAUUAAGAUGGCAUCAUUUUAAUAAUAAAGAUUACGGUGUAAGAUGAGUAUGCGUACCAUUAGUUUGUUGGUAAGGUAACGGCUUACCAAGACUACGAUGGUUAGGGGCCCUGAGAGGGGGAUCCCCCACACUGGUACUGAGACACGGACCAGACUCCUACGGGAGGCAGCAGUGAGGAAUAUUGGACAAUGGAGGAGACUCUGAUCCAGCCAUGCCGCGUGCAGGAAGACGGUCCUAUGGAUUGUAAACUGCUUUUAUACAGGAAGAAUAAGGACUACGUGUAGUCUGGUGACGGUACUGUAAGAAUAAGGACCGGCUAACUCCGUGCCAGCAGCCGCGGUAAUACGGAGGGUCCGAGCGUUAUCCGGAAUUAUUGGGUUUAAAGGGUCCGUAGGCGGGCCAUUAAGUCAGGGGUGAAAGUUUGCAGCUCAACUGUAGAAUUGCCUUUGAUACUGAUGGUCUUGAAUUAUUGUGAAGUGGUUAGAAUAUGUAGUGUAGCGGUGAAAUGCAUAGAUAUUACAUAGAAUACCGAUUGCGAAGGCAGAUCACUAACAAUAUAUUGACGCUGAUGGACGAAAGCGUGGGUAGCGAACAGGAUUAGAUACCCUGGUAGUCCACGCCGUAAACGAUGGAUACUAGCUGUGUGGUUUUCGGACUGCGCGGCCAAGCGAAAGUGAUAAGUACCCCACCUGGGGAGUACGUUCGCAAGAAUGAAACUCAAAGGAAUUGACGGGGGC